rnacentral:tRNA from 1 species
UGCUUGGGUAGCUCAGUUGGUAGAGCACUUGCCCGUGAAAGGCAAAGGUCCCGAGUUCGAGUCUCGGUCCAGCAC